UUCUUGGCCCGGCUGUGGGCUGAUGAAGCAGAUCUGGCUGCCCCUGCGCGGCUUACGUGUAAAACGCCCCCUCCAACGAGGUCUCCGACGGUGUCUCCUAGAUCGCCAACGAGACCACCCAGGUCGAGGUCUAUCAGCGCCGAUCCCUCCGUUGUGGUCGUGGUCGUGGCGGUGCUCUGGGCGUCUGCUGAGCCGGUCAUCAUCAUUAG